GACGAACCGUGCAAACGUUAUUCGGAAUCACUGGGCAUAAAGGGCGCGUAGGCGGCUUUCUAAGUCAGGGGUGAAAUCCGGCAGCUCAACUGUCGCAGUGCCUUUGAUACUGGAGAGCUCGAGGGAGGUAGGGGUGCUGUGGAACUUCCGGUGGAGCGGUGAAAUGCGUUGAUAUCGGAAGGAACGCCCGCGGCGAAAGCGCGUCCCUGGACCCCGCCUGACGCUGAGACGCGAAAGCCAGGGGAGCGAACGGG
rnacentral:rRNA from 1 species